GAAUAUUGCACAAUGGGGGAAACCCUGAUGCAGCAACGCCGCGUGGAGGAUGACGCAUUUCGGUGUGUAAACUCCUUUUAUGUGUCAAGAAAAUGACGGUAGCAUAUGAAUAAGCACCGGCUAACUCCGUGCCAGCCGCCGCGGUAAUACGGAGGGUGCAAGCGUUACUCGGAAUCACUGGGCGUAAAGGACGCGUAGGCGGGUUGUCAAGUCAGAUGUGAAAUCCUACAGCUUAACUGUAGAACUGCAUUUGAAACUGGCAACCUAGAGUAUGGGAGGGGGAGAUGGAAUUAGUGGUGUAGGGGUAAAAUCCGUAGAUAUCACUAGGAAUACCGAAAGCGAAGGCGAUCUCCUGGAACAUUACUGACGCUAAGGCGUGAAAGCGUGGGGAGCAAACGGGAUUAGAUACCCCGGUAGUCCACGCCCUAAACGAUGAACACUAGUCGUCGGGAUGCUUGUCAUCUCGGUGAUGCACUUAACAGAUUAAGUGUUCCGCCUGGGGAGUACGGUCGCAAGAUUAAAACUCAAAGGAAUAGACG
rnacentral:rRNA from 1 species